AGUGAACGCUGGCGGUAGGCCUAACACAUGCAAGUCGAACGGCAGCACAGUAAGAGCUUGCUCUUACGGGUGGCGAGUGGCGGACGGGUGAGGAAUACAUCGGAAUCUACUUUUUCGUGGGGAUAACGUAGGGAAACUUACGCUAAUACCGCAUACGACCUACGGGUGAAAGCAGGGGAUCUUCGGACCUUGCGCGAUUGAAUGAGCCGAUGUCGGAUUAGCUAGUUGGCGGGGUAAAGGCCCACCAAGGCGACGAUCCGUAGCUGGUCUGAGAGGAUGAUCAGCCACACUGGAACUGAGACACGGUCCAGACUCCUACGGGAGGCAGCAGUGGGGAAUAUUGGACAAUGGGCGCAAGCCUGAUCCAGCCAUACCGCGUGGGUGAAGAAGGCCUUCGGGUUGUAAAGCCCUUUAGUUGGGAAAGAAAAGCAGCAGGUUAAUACCCCGCUGUUCUGACGGUACCCAAAGAAUAAGCACCGGCUAACUUCGUG
rnacentral:rRNA from 1 species